rnacentral:rRNA from 1 species
CCUACGGGCGGCAGCAGUGAGGAAUAUUGGUCAAUGGGCGCUAGCCUGAACCAGCCAAGUCGCGUGAAGGAUGACUGCCCUAUGGGUUGUAAACUUCUUUUAUAUGGGAAUAAAGUGCAGUACGUAUACUGCUUUGCAUGUUCCUUAUGAAUAAGGAUCGGCUAACUCCUUGCCAGCCUCCGAGGUAAUACGGAGGAUGCGAGCGUUAUCCGGAUUUAUUGGGUUUAAAGGGUGCGUAGGCGGGUUGUUAAGUAAGUGGUAAAAGUUUGCGGCGAAAACCGGGACUUGCGGUGAAUCGGGUAUGCUUGAGGGAGCGAGAAGUAGGCGGAAUGAGUGGUGUAGAGGUGAAAUGCAUAGAUA